rnacentral:rRNA from 1 species
UACGGAGGGUGCAAGCGUUAUCCGGAUUUAUUGGGUUUAAAGGGUCCGUAGGCGGACUAUUAAGUCAGUGGUGAAAGCCCUCUGCUCAACAGAGGAACUGCCAUUGAUACUGAUAGUCUUGAGUACAUGUGAGGUUGGCGGAAUGUGUGGUGUAGCGGUGAAAUGCUUAGAUAUCACACAGAACACCGAUUGCGAAGGCAGCUGGCCAACAUGUAACUGACGCUGAGGGACGAAAGUGUGGGGAUCAAACAGG